AUGUCCUACCAGUCAGCCUGUGGUGAUCCCCCCGUAGACGCCACUGGUCGUACUGGUCGUACUGGUCCUCCAGGGUCGGGGGAGCUGGUACCUCCAGCGUCCUCCAGGCCACCGGCUGGAUGCUGGUCUGUGGGUCCCAGCCAGCACACGCCUUUUAUUUAUUCAGGGUUUUGGAGAAGCUUGUUGCUCCAGGUGGUCCCUGAGGGCCCGGUCCAGGUCCCCGCCGUGAGGGCCCAGUCAAGGGGCCAGGGCCGGGUCCAGGGCCGGGUCCGGGUCCAGGGCCGGGUCCGGGUCCAGGGCCUGGUCCAGGGCCGGGUCCAGGGCCUGGUCCAGGGCCGGGUCCAGGCCGGGUCCAGGUCCGGCUCCGUGUCCGGGUCCAGGGCCUGGUCCAGGGCCGGGUCCGGGUCCAGGGCCGGGUCCAGGGCCUGGUCCAGGGCCGGGUCCAGGCCGGGUCCAGGGCCGGGUCCAGGGCCGGGUCCGGGUCCAGGGCCUGGUCCAGGGCCGGGUCCAGGCCGGGUCCAGGGCCGGGUCCGGGUCCAGGGCCUGGUCCAGGGCCGGGUCCAGGGCCGGGUCCAGGGCCGGGUCCAGGUCCGGCUCCGUGUCCGGGUCCAGGUCCGGGUCCAGGGCCGGGUCCAGGCCUGGUCCAGGUCCGGGUCUGGGUCCAGGGCCGGGUCCAGGGCCUGGUCCAGGGCCGGGUCCAGGGCCGGGUCCAGGGCCGGGUCCAGGGCCUGGUCCAGGCCGGGUCCAGGGCCGGGUCCAGGUCCGGCUCCGUGUCUGGGUCCAGGUCCGGGUCCAGGUCCGGCUCCGUGUCCGGGUCCAGGGCCUGGUCCGGGGCCGGGUCCAGGGCCUGGUCCGGGGCCGGGUCCAGGGCCUGGUCCGGGCCGGGUCCAGGGCCUGGUCCGGGGCCGGGUCCAGGGCCUGGUCCAGGGCCGGGUCCAGGUCCGGCUCCGUGUCUGGGUCCAGGGCCUGGUCCAGGGCCGGGUCCAGGGCCGGGUCCAGGGCCUGGUCCGGGGCCGGGUCCGGGGCCUGGUCCGGGGCCGGGUCCGGGGCCGGGUCCAGACUUCUCGUGUCUGUGGAGGCAAGGCCGAGUGGAGCUGA
rnacentral:lncRNA from 1 species